GACGAACGCUGGCGGCGUGUCUAAUACAUGCAAGUCGAGCGAGCGGAACUAACAGAUUUACUUCGGUAAUGACGUUAGGAAAGCGAGCGGCGGAUGGGUGAGUAACACGUGGGGAACCUGCCCCAUAGUCUGGGAUACCACUUGGAAACAGGUGCUAAUACCGGAUAAGAAAGCAGAUCGCAUGAUCAGCUUUUAAAAGGCGGCGUAAGCUGUCGCUAUGGGAUGGCCCCGCGGUGCAUUAGCUAGUUGGUAAGGUAAAGGCUUACCAAGGCGAUGAUGCAUAGCCGAGUUGAGAGACUGAUCGGCCACAUUGGGACUGAGACACGGCCCAAACUCCUACGGGAGGCAGCAGUAGGGAAUCUUCCACAAUGGACACAAGUCUGAUGGAGCAACGCCGCGUGAGUGAAGAAGGUUUUCGGAUCGUAAAGCUCUGUUGUUGGUGAAGAAGGAUAGAGGUAGUAACUGGCCUUUAUUUGACGGUAAUCAACCAGAAAGUCACGGCUAACUACGUG
rnacentral:rRNA from 1 species